rnacentral:rRNA from 1 species
CAGCAGCCGCGGGAAUACGGAGGGAGCUAGCGUUGUUCGGAAUUACUGGGCGUAAAGCGCACGUAGGCGGCUAUUCAAGUCAGGGGUGAAAGCCCGGGGCUCAACCCCGGAACUGCCUUUGAAACUAGAUAGCUUGAAUCUCGGAGAGGCGAGUGGAAUUCCGAGUGUAGAGGUGAAAUUCGUAGAUAUUCGGAAGAACACCAGUGGCGAAGGCGACUCGCUGGACAAGUAUUGACGCUGAGGUGCGAAAGCGUGGGGAGCAAACAGGAUUAGAUACCCCCGUAGUCCCUGUCUCUUAUAA